GAGCACGUAGGUGGGUUUGUAAGUCAGAUGUGAAAGCCUUCUGUUCAACGGAAGAAUUGCAUCUGAAACUGCGAGUCUUGAGUGUAGGAGGGGAGAAUGGAACUUUUGGUGGAGCGGUGUAAUGCGUAGAUAUCAGAAGGAACUCCGGCGGCGAAAGCGAUUCUCUGGCCUAUUACUGACACUCAGUGUGCGAAAGCUAGGGGAGCAAACGGGAUUAGAUACCCCGGUAGUCCUAGCCGUAAACGAUGGGCACUAAGUAGAGGGGUUUU
rnacentral:rRNA from 1 species